GUGUUGGCUGACUUACAGCUUCUCUAAAGUAGAGGCAGUUUCUGAACCCUAGGUUCCUGCCUCGCAGUUCUGGCUAGUGAGCACCAAUGCAAAGAGCUGCCCGGAGCGAGACAAAACCAGCAAAAUACAGGUCUAAGCCAUGACUCUUCCACCCGUCAAGCCACCCUUAAUGGAUGGAUGGCUGUGAUGAACCAUAGAGGCAGAGACGGUUUCCUGAGCCCCGGAUCUUUCUCCCUUCUGGAACUAUUCCGCCAUACGUACUUGUCUCUUGAGAAUCCCCGCAUCAUGGACCUCAUCGGGCUGCUGAAGUCCCAGUUUCUGUGUCACCUGGUCUUCUGCUACGUGUUCAUCGCCUCCGG
rnacentral:lncRNA from 1 species